AGGUAAACUUUCAUAUAUGCUCUUCUCUUUCACCUUCAUAUAUAAAGACUGGUUUUCUUUUUCAUUAUUGAAACAUUCACUAACAUGUGUUGAAGAUUUCAGGCGGUAGAAACUUGUAAGAGGAUGGCAUGUGAUUAUUUUGACCACACUCAAUCAUUUCCAAUUAUACCAACUAUGAUUUCCUUAAUUAAACAUAUAAGGAGAAGUGUGUAUGGUACACACUAGAUGAUGAGCUGGUUGAGAUUAAUUUUAGGAAAAGAGCAUCAGCACGACUUUCAGACAUGUUUAGGCUUGCUAGACUUGGAUAUGAAGAAAGAGGGAUCAAGCCUCCAUGGAUGGACGAAAAUGUGUUUAAAGAAAAAAUCUGAAAAAGCAAAGCAGCGUAGAGCAUCAGAAAGGCAUGCCGCUAAUCAUAGAACCGAAAGCAUUAGUAUUGCUGAUCAUGCUGAUCGAUUGGUUGUGGCUAAGAUAAGAACUCCAUUAAUGCAAGAGCUUCACGAGAGGACUUAUUGGCAAAGAGAUGGAGAGUAUUGCGACGACCGUGCUAGAGAUACUCAAUGGUUGGUGUAGGGGCUGCAUGUGGAGUUUAUGGCCAGUCUCUUUGUAUCAGUGAAUGCAGUGGAGUACCAAAGGUUGAAGGUAGAGAUUUUAGCUAAACAUCCUGAGUUAGGUGGUCCACAAAGGGCGACAUCCUCUUGAUCCAGCUAUUGAUUAAUAUUUGUGGUUGAAAGUAAGUAAGGGAAGGAAUAAAAAUGGAAAAUUUUAUGCUAGUGGACCUUUAGCUGGCAACUACAAAAAAGGGGAUAUGUUUUCUUUAUUUAGGACAAUGCAUACGGGGAAGGGUCUUCACGUCCUCCGACAUUAACCCCUGAAAUAACUGAAACAAAUAGACAACUAGCUCAGAGUGAAGCAGCACGCGAAAAUGAAACAUUGAGAAAAAAACAAAUGGAGUUGGAGGAAGCAUUGAGACUUUCACAAGAGCAAAUAAUGCUUACACAACAACAAAUUCGACAAGUAAAUGCAACAACAAAUGCAACAAAUACAACAGUAAAUGCAACAACAAAUGCAACAAAUGCAACAAUUAUUUCAACAACAAUAUGGUGGUGGUGGAUUUGGAGCAAUUGGUAACCAAGGAGUGGUAGAUCCCAAGUGAAUAUUAUUUUGAAUUUAAAUAUUUUUGAUUAAUUAUGAAUUUCGUUAUAUAAGUAUGAAUUUAAAUAUUUAGAAUUAAUUAUAAAUUUAGUAUUUUUAAAUUUUUUUGAAUUUAAAUUAUUUAUUAUAUUUAUAUUAUUCUAAAUAUUAAUUUUAAUAUUUAGAAUAAUAUAUUAAUAUAUAUUUCUUAUUAUAUACGUUACUAUUUGCGUUGUGCAUUUAACAUGGUAUCUCAAAAUAUUUGUCAGGUGAAUUUCACCUUAUAAGUUUUUGAAUAUUCAAAUAUUGCUAGGUGAAACUCACCCCGUAAGCCACCUAACAUACUGUUACUCCUGCUUUGAACCAACUGUGUCACCUGCGCUGAAUCAACUGUGUCGCAUGGAACGAAGUUGUCUGUAAUUCUUGGAAAGCGUGUUUGCGGGGUGCUUCAAAGCUGGAAACGUUGCGGGGUGAAAAACACCUGGAAAAGUUGCAGGGUGCGAAUCCCCUUGCAAAAAGUUGCGACUAAUGUUUUUGCAAGGUGAGCGUAUCACCUCGCAACAGUUGCGUUGCAAGGUGAUAUUUGCAUUUGCGGGGUGGUUUUCACCUGACAAACUUGAGUUUUUUUGUAGUGGAAGAACUUUGAAUUGGCAUGGUUGUAUGUGUUAUUUGAAUAUGAGUGGUCCUUGAGUUAGUUGUUUAGAGUUAUGAAUGCAACUUUGGUUGAUGUAAUGUUUGAAUUAGGAAUUAGGAAUUAGUUCAUGUUAUAGCAGCCUUAGGUAAAUGGACGGUUUAUUUGAACUAUGGCUUGUGGAUUGAUUAUAUAUGCAAACUUGUAGCAUGACAUGUUUGUAUUGAUUAGUAACUUGUGUUGUACAUGAAGAUUAUGUGAAUCGUUUGAUACAAGCCA